rnacentral:sRNA from 2 species
UCCGCGGCCGGCUAUGACAACAGUCAAUGUGCAUGACAAGUUACAGGU